UACGUAGGCAGCGAGCGUUGUUCGGAGUUACUGGGCGUAAAGCGUGCGUAGGCGGUGUCUUAAGUUUGUUGUGAAAUCUCCCGGCUUAACCGGGAGGGUGCGGCGAAUACUGAGAUGCUGGAGUGCCGGAGAGGUAAGCGGAAUUCCUGGUGUAGCGGUGAAAUGCGUAGAUAUCAGGAGGAACACCUGCGGUGUAGACGGCUUACGUGGACGGUAACUGACGCUGAGGCACGAAAGCGUAGGUAG
rnacentral:rRNA from 1 species